GAAUUUUGGACAAUGGGGGAAACCCUGAUCCAGCCAUCCCGCGUGUAUGAUGAAGGCCUUCGGGUUGUAAAGUACUUGUGGAAGCGAAGAAAAGGUAUCUCCUAAUACUAGAUACUGCUGACGGUAUCAGCAGAAUAAGCACCGCCUAACUACGUCACAGCAGCCUCGGUAAGACGUAGGGUGCAAGCGUUAAUCGGACUUAAUGGUCGUAAAGCGUGUGUAGGCGGUUCGGAAAGAAAGAUGUGAAAUCCCAGGGCUCGACCUUGGAACUGCAUUUUUAACUGCCGAGCUAGAGUAUGUCAGAGGGGGGUAGAAUUCCACGUGUAGCAGUGAAAUGCGUAGAUAUGUGGAGGAAUACCGAUGGCGAAGGCAGCCCCCUGGGAUAAUACUGACGCUCAGACACGAAAGCGUGGGGAGCAAACA
rnacentral:rRNA from 1 species